rnacentral:piRNA from 1 species
UGCUUUGGCCUGUCACAGAAGCUGC